rnacentral:lncRNA from 1 species
CACUCUACUGUACUUACUUAUGCUCUAACGUCACGUGUGAAGUGAGUUCAUUCCCGCUCACCAGCGCACUCUGGUAUUUAGGCACUCUUAGGUUUAAAUUUAUUCACUUUUUUCCACAUCAUGACACUUUAUGGCUUCGUCACCUUCCAGGUGUCGGCUAGCACAGCUCGAUUCGAAGUCCUAGCGGACAUUUCAGGUCGGGGUGUGUCAGUUUGGUAUACAAUCAUCAAUACCUAUACUCACCUCGAACUUACCUGUGCGUCCGCAGCGUUAAAAAUAUUAUACACAACUAAGAGAAGCAUAUUCUAAGAUAUAAAGCAUUUGACAUGGCAUACUUAUGAAUAUCGCUUUUCUGAGCAUGGUUUUGAGUUAUGUAUAUAUUCUAUUUUUUCUGGAAAAUUAUACAGGUUUUACGGCGAGGGGUUACUACCUUUGAUAAUUGAAAUGGUUUUUGAAAAGCUUUGUUUUUGCCCACUCACACUUUCUGUUUUGCGCCCCUCUAGGUUUUAAUUGCUGAAGGUUCGUAUCGACGAGGAUUCUUGGCAAAUCUCAGGGUAGGUGGUUACUUAUAAAGGUAUAAUCCUUAUCCACUCUACUCUACUUACUUAUGCUCUAACGUCACGUGUGAAGUGGGUUCAUUCCCACUCACCAGUGCACUAUGGUAUUUAGGCACUCUUAGGUUUAAAUUUAUUCACAUUUUUCCACAUCAUGACACUUUAUGGCUUCUACACCUUCCAGGUGUCAGCCAGCACAACUCGAUUCGGAGUCCUAAUGGACAUUCCGGGUCGAGGUGUGUCAGUUUGGGUGACCCAGUGGGAAGUUCUCAUGUGAGUUCCUAAAAACAAAAUCGUGAGGGCGUGGUCGGAGCCCAAAGCGGACAAUAUCGUGCUACGGGGGAGUCGAGUCCGGGAUGUCAUGGAGGCCCAAGUAGGGAUGUGACACUUUGUUUGUCAAAAAUGCAUAUUUUUUAUUUUAGCAAAAUAUUUUCCAUGAGCAUUAAGAAAAAUUUAUAAGGCAUUUAGAAGCAGAUUUACGAUUUAUUGUGCAUAUUUAGUAAGCUAUUUAAGUUGAAAACUAAAAAAAAUUAGUGAAAAGUGUAGUAGGGAGGCCCAAAACAUUAUUAAAAUGGGGUUCCACUCUCAAGAAUAUAACAAAAAGUAUUAUUAUAAUUUUCAAACUUCACAGUGAGGAGAAGGUGAAUAGUUUGAAUGAUGAUUUAUGUACAAAUUUGAAAAAACCGAUUGAAAAUCGUGAGUGUUAACCCUUUUUUUAUGCAAAUAUUAUAUUUUUGUGAAUUAUUUUCCAUGAGCAUUAAGGAAAAUUUAUAAGGCUGCUGGAAGCAAACUUAAGAUUUAUUGAGCAACAAAUGUAUAUUUAUUUGAAUAUUUAAGUCGAAAACAAAAAAAUAAGUGAAAAAUAUAGUAGUGAGGCCCAAAAUAUUGUUAAAAUUGGGUUGCAGCCUCAAGAAUAUAAUGGAAAGUAUUACUAUAAUUUUCAAACAUCACAAUGAGGCAAAGUUGAAAAGAAAUAGUUUGAACGACAAUUUAUGUACGAAACCCAUGUUUUUUUUGUCAAAAAUGCAAAUUUUUUAUUUUCGCUAAAUAUUUUUCGGGAGCAUUGAGGAAAAUUUUAUAAGGCAUUUGGAAGUGCAUUUACAAUUUAUUAAGCAACAAAUGGAUAUUUAGUAGACUAUUUAAGUCCAAACUAAAAAAUUGAGUGAAAAAUAUAGUAGUAAGGCCCAAAAUAUUGUUAAAAUGGGGUUCCACCCUCAACAAUAUUAACAGAAAGUAUUAUUUUAAUUUAAAACUUCACAGUGAGGAAAAUGUGAAAAUAAAGAGUUUGAACGACGAUUUAUAUACGAAUUUGUAAAAACCGAGUAAAAAUCAUGGGUGUCAACCCACUUUUUUGUCAAAAAUGUUUUUUUUUUUUAUUUUUGCGAAAUAUUUUCCAUGAGCAUUAAGGAAAAUUUAUAAGGCAUUUAGAAGCGGAUUUAUGAUUUAUUGUGCAUAUUUAAUAGAAUAUUUAAGCCGAAAAUGAAAAAAAUGAGUGAAAAGUGUAGUAGUGAGGCCCAAAACAUUGUUACAAUGCGGUUCCACCCUCAAGAAUAUAACAAGAAGUAUUACUAUAAUUUGCAAAUUCCACGAUUAGGCGAAGGUGAAAAUAAAUAGUUUGAACUAUGAUUUAUGUGCGGAUUUGUAAAAAUCGACUAUUUUAUUUUCAUGAAAAAUGCAAAAUAUUUUAUUUUUGUGAAAUAUAGUAGUGAGGCCCAAAACACUGUUAAAAUUGGGAUCCACCCUCAUGAGUAUAACAAAAAGUAGGGUAAAUUACAUAGUAGCCCCUCAAGUUUGAGGUCUAUUACAAUCCCAUACAACGUCUUUAAAACAUUUCACUUUCAUACAUCAUGUACCAUUUUAUUUCAAAAUAAUACAUCCGUUAGAUUUUCCGUCCAUUAAUCUGUUAAAUGCUGACGUGGCUGCCACAUUUGUGCUGAUGUGGCUGCCAAAUGUGUGCCACGUGGCAAAAAUAAUAAUUUUUUAAUUUU